GGGUUUCCCAGGCAGCCCUGCCAGGGCUCGCGUUCUCGGCCGAGCUUCUGGAAGUUUCCCCGGGGCGGGUCUUGGCCAAUCAGGUGUCGAGGUGGUUAACCGCCGCGUCCGCGCCGUCAGAGCUUCGUGAGAGGCGGCUGCCGCCGGUCACCGAGGGGGCGAGUAAAUCUUUUUUAUCCCCCCCCCACCGGAGGAGGCUACAUCUAUUGUUCCAACUUUUCAACAAAAAACCCAAGGUGUCUCAGACUGUUUACUUUCUUGGAUCUGAAUAGCUUGCUGGACACCGCUUUCUCAACCUUCAUACAAAGAAGAGGACAGAAUAUACCUCUUAAAGCUUACUAUCGUGGAAUAUUUCUAUUGGUGAAGUGCGCCUUCGGACCACCUCCGCAGACACCGGACCAAGACCUUGAGAUUCAGGAUCGAUCUUCUUGGCCACAAAUUGGAGAUUUUGGACUUGUCCGGGACUGGGAUCGCCCCAGGUUUGGACCAAAGUGGAAAGGACCAUACCAAGUGCUUCUUCAGACUCCAACAGCCCUUAAAGGUCAGUGUCUUGUUAUUGCAUCAAGUCCGUGAGGGUCUCCGAAAAUGAACCUGACAUUUGGCGCAACGAGCAGGGUUCCAACAUGUACAGCAGUCUCACGUGGAGGGCUGAAUAAGUGAUCGUUCAAGUGUCGGAGGAGUGAGACGGACGGGCCCGCAAGAGCUAGCUGUGUCACCUCUAAUAUAGCGGGGUGACCUACAGUUACAGCCUUGACCAUGGGCCGUGUCGGGGGUAGUUGCCACAGAGCCAGGAUGACACACCCCAUCCCAAAGACUACCUCCUUGGUCCCACCCCACCUUUGCUUGGGCACAGCCAAAAGUACCCUUCCUCCGCCACAUCCUACACUCACAUAGGAACCCUGUCUUCUUCCCGGGACGCAACUCUACCCUCUCUCUCUGUCUAUCCGUCAUUGUGUCUUGGAGAGGGCCUAGAGCCUGGACUUGUGGUGGAAAGGGGACUCUCGGUAGCUGUAGGCCUAGAGCCUAGACACGUGGUGGAGAGGGGACUCCUGGCAGCUGUAGGCCCGGAGCCUGGACUCGUGGUGGAGAGGGGACUCCUGGCAGCUGUAGGCCCGGAGCCUGGACUCGUGGUGGAGAGGGGACUCCUGGCAGCUGUAGGCCCGGAGCCUGAACUCGUGGUGGAGAGGGGACUCCUGGCAGCUGGAGCCUGGACUCGUGGUGGAGAGGGAACUCUUGGCAGCUGUAGGCCCGGAGCCUGGACUCGUGGUGGAGAGCGGACUCCUGGCAGCUGGAGCCUGGACUCGUGGUGGAGAGGGGACUCCUGGUAGCUGUAGGCCCAGAGCCUGGACUCGUGGAGAGGGGACUCCUGGCAGCUGUAGGCCUGGAGCCUGGACUCAUGGUGGAGAGGGGACUCUUGGUAGCUGUAGGCCCGGAGCCUGGACUCGUGGUGGAGAGGGGACUCCUGGUAGCUGUAGGCCUAGAUCCUAGGCUCUUGACAAUGGCGGUGCCUGAAUGGGGGUCUCCAGGCAACAGUAGGUCCAGAGCCUUGUCUCUUGACUGUGUCAGCGGUGACAGCAGAGCCAGGCUGUCUUGGGGCAUCAGCGUUGUCACCACUAUUCCGUGAGAGGGAUUCCUGGAGGACUGGACCAAAUUGCAGAAGCUCUGAGCCUGUGCUUAAGACCCCAAUUUGAACA